ensembl:lncRNA
GCCUGCACGUGCCUGUCCAUGAGUCGGCCAAGCAGGCAAGUAAAAGCUAGCCACAAAGGCUAGCUAGCAAACUAAAGACAUGACAGAUUUUCUCUGGCUGUCUUAGCCACUUGUCAGCAGUUGUUAGGUCCUGUUAUUACUAGUGCAAUGCUAGCGCCAUGCCUGCCCCGCCGUAAUGUUUGAUCCCCGCCGCCUGUAUCAUCCCCCCCGUCAUAAUGUCUGCACCCCGCCGUAAUGUUAUACGAUUGUAUAAGGGAGCACUACGUCACAGCCACGUAUGAAAACAUUUAAGAAAAUAUAUUAAAAGGGAAGAUCGGAACAACUGAUUCGAACGUGGGUCAAAAACACAUUCAGCGAGCUGCCUCAAACCGUGCGCCACAGAGCAUCACCAAGUGGUCUUGCCGUUUUGUAUAAUUUAUCUAUUAAGUUGAAGCAGAACGGGAUGGAUAGAGGAAAUCACCUGGUGUAGGGGACCCCCUGUAUUGGCUACCCCCUGGGUUGAAUGCACUCAUUGUAAGUCGCUUUGGAUAAAAGCAUUAGCUAAAUGAAAAAUGUUAAACUAAGUUAAAGAUGAGCAGCGGCAUCAUCUUGCCAAGGUUGUGUUGACACCACAAGAGUUUCAUUUCUGACCGUGACAUUGGAGCUCACUGUGACAAGACCAUGGACGCAAUGCUUCAACUAUACUACUGGCCUGGCAUGAAGGCCGAGAACGAGAAAUGGUUGGGUGUUACGACUUUAUUCUGGGGAGCCUGUGGUAAUAUUUAAACAUUCAAUCUCAGUGUUUUUCGAUUGAAAAUGUUUAGAUUCGCCAAUGUGAUGCCUGCCAAAAGAAGAGGACCUGGUUUUCAAUACAUUUGUGUGAUGGUGGACUAUUUCAUAAGUGGCUUGAGGUAUACCCGCUGAAAACCAAGAAAUAGCCGUGUGUGUAAUUGAUUGCUUCUAUAAAUAUGGCGCCCCAGAGCCUAUCCUCACCAACCGUGGAAAGGAAUUUUGAGGCAAGUAAUUGUACUGUAUUCAUGGUCACAUUAACAAUGGAAAAAUCCUCAUGGUAUUCCAAAUAAGUUGCCCUCUUGGGCAUUUUCAAGAUGAAUACAGAGUUGUGCCAGAAACUUUGACCAUUGACAGAAGCCUCUGUGCUCCAUACCACCCUCAAACCAAUGGCUUGGUUGAAAAACUCAAAUGGCACAAAUCAAGGGUAUAAAACUAUCUAAUAUAUAUAUUCCAACAAAACCACUGUUGAUGUACAUGGAGACUGACUUUUCAUUGUCAUUAAUUAUUGUUUACCUCUAUUUUAGAGUUUUGAAAAAAUGGUCUAGGAUCACCCAGGUGACUGGGACCAAUACAUUAAGUCCAGUGUUUGGCCUAAGAACUAAAAAACAGCAGACUACAAAGUACUCCCCAUAUAUCUUUAUGUAUGGGAGGGAAACUCUGUAUCCUUCCGAAAUACCAGUCGAGUGGCAGACAUCUGAGGACCAUAUUGGUGCUCACCAGGAAGCUUUCAGGAGGAUAUCGAGAAAAUCGACCAUCUCUCAGAAAAUAUGUGUAACCUGAAGAUCAAAUUCCAGGCAAAUGGAUGUCAGCGGCUUCUACUCCACCUCUGCAGUCCAGCCCGUUGUGUUUUGUUCCACAAUCUCCUCUUGCUGACAAGCAAACAACUCCCCAACCUGUCUCCUUGACCUCCACUCCCCAGAGGAACUCAUGGCUGACAUCUGGGCGGGUAAACGCCGAGGUGUGCUGUGGAGCAAAGUGGGGCCUUAUAAAAUAUUUGCCGCGGACAUGCAGAACUUGGCCCCCGGAAGGGAAAUAGAGAGCGGUACAGGCGCUGGACCACUUGUCCUUCGAUGUCGUCAUAGGACCGGGUUGCCACAAACGGCACUGGACACUUGUGCUAAGGAAAACCGGACAAUUUACCUUGAUCCGUUAGGUGACCCCCCAGACAACUUGACUAGAUGCAAGGAUGUGACAAGAGCAUUCAUGAGAAAUAAAAAUAUCCAUGUUUCAAGAUGGAAUUGUUCAACCUGGAGUUGUUGAGCCACCCAAGACAGCAAGCCUCAACAUCCUGUGGGGCAAUUGUCUUCAAGGUAAGAAUGUGAGAGACCCUUUGGUGAUUAUUACAUGUUUGAGUCAUUUAAAAGAUAGUGUAGUUUGCAGAACUUAUUUUAACUGGUGGCCAGUUAGAUUUCUUCACUGACGAGGCUGCUACAACUCAGAGAGACAGCUUGCAAACUGGUCAGUGGCUUUAUUUUUUCCUGUUAAUGUUUUGUCAUAUGCAUUUAGAUAUCAUUGUGCAAUUAAUUACACUUGUUUAACAUGUUAGAAAGCAUGACAGAAUUAUGCAGGGCAUGCGGCAAUGCAGGCCAAAAUCCAGGGAGAUGGACAUGAUGACUGGGUAUUAAAAAACUGAUUUUGGUAAUGACAUAAAUGUAUGGCGUAUUAAUCUACUGCGGUGCUUAUCCUCAGAUCCAGUGCUCAACACGCACUCUGUGGUUCCACUGGAUUUGCCCCUGGGAAACUACCUCUGGAGCAGCUAACUUCUGCUGUCCAGCAUGUUUUCUUUAGAGAUACUUUUGUUUUUCAAUGAUUUAUGACUGUUAAAACAUUUAAUAAACUGUCCUUUGAGAACUUCAUGAGAUUUGAUUCCUAAUAGAAUGUACAAUCUGUCUCCCUCAAUUCCUUGACUUUUUGUUGGUGCAUCGCUUUUGUUCGGAAAGAUGUAUGGCCUCAUGGUGCUUUUAUAGGGACGCUGCUUAUUAACUUUAAUUGGGUGACAAUUAAGAAUGAAUAUAUUUUUUUGGGAUGUGGUCCAAGACACCUCCAAGGUAACGAGUUGUUUCAGGUACCCUAUACCAGGUUUCCUCCAUACCGAUGUGAUUGCAUUAAUAGACUAGAAAAUGCGUUGGAAUGCUUUUUUUUUUUUAAUUGCUGAAAGGAAUAAAAAAAAAAAUACUACUAUGAUUAUUAGUAUCAUGUCUGUAUGUGUAGUACAAUUAGUGGUGGUAGUAUUAAAUAGUGUCAGCCCUGUGAGGCGGGGGACUUAAAAUCUAAUAAAAAAUAAGAUACAUUUAUAAAAGAAAGGUACCAGCAACGCCACCUAGUUGCGGAGUCUAGGUCUCCAUAAAAACAGGUUCUUGUUCACCAGAGGAAGAACCGCAUGGAUCACAAGACUUAAAAGCGUGGUUUAAAAGGAGGAUUUUAUUAUUAACUAAAAACCCAUAAAUAACUACAAUAUUAAAAGUCCAGCUGGAACAAAGUACUAAAAGGAUUUAAGAAUUCGACCAGCCACUGCUGCUGAUCAGUCUUGCCCCUUCUUCUUGUUUCCUGUUCCGUUCCUUUCCUUUCCUUGGUGAGGUGUCCAGUCUGUUUCGUUACUCUCCUCGUUGCACCCUGCCUGCUCGUCCGUUGUCUUGCCGCCCUCUCGCUUGAUUUCCCGUGGCUUCUCCUGCUCGUGUCUUCACCUUUCUGUGACUUUCCCUUUCUGUGGCUCCCCUGCCCGUGGCUUCACCUUUCUGCGGCCUUUCGCUUUCUGCCGUGCUUAGUGUCCUUUAUAGCAGCGGUGUUAAUUGGAGAGGGGAGGUCCUUUCAUUGUGUAAUGUGGUUGGCCAGGGCUCUCUGUAAUUGAUUAGUCCCUCCAGGUGCAUGUAGUUUACUGAAAGGUGGGUUAAUAUGUAAAAAUGUAAUAAAACAAACCAUGCAAAAAUGUAAUAAAACAAACCACGCUAAAAUGUAAAAACAAGCCAUGCUAAAAUAUAACAAACCAAUAAUUUACAGAAACCACAAUGUCCCCCUGGUGACAUCAGCAGCAUAAAUACUAGUACCUUUUGUUAUAGUAGUGUGACCCGGUGAUAUUCUAAGCACAAGAGCCAGAAUAAACUGAAGCCAGACUAUUGUCACGACCGGAUAAUAGCCCUUAACCCAAAUGCAGAACUCUGGAGACUAUGUUCGAAAGCAAAGUUUAUUAACAAAAAGGCAGCAACUGAAAAUCACUCUUGGUAGAGGAAAAGGAUGUAGUAAAUAAACACUAGGCUAAAAAACGAAGGCGCGCCUGGAAAAAGGUACAAAACGUGGUAAAGCGAGACGGACACUGGUACGUGCUGGUUCUGUCCUCUGUCAGGCUGCAGUAAUCAGCUAAUACUGAACCUGUGUGUGGCACAGACAGAGUGAGCUACCACGGUAACAGCACACCUGAAUGAAACAUACAUGAAUUUGAUUUAAAAUAAUUCAAGCAUAAAAAAGGUAGAAUGCUGAAAAGGUCAUAGCAGAAAUGUCCUGAAGGAGCUUAAUAUUUGAAUGGUUUUAAUAGCUGAAAGUGUGAAGGAGAAGAAAUUGAACAUGUUGACAUAAAGAUUCGAAAAACAAUACUGAGGCAGCAUUCCAACAAAAACUAGAAAAUCCUUUUCUGCAGAAAAUGCGUUGGAAUGCUGAAAUAAAUUUUUCAAAAUUGAUGAAAAUAUAGACAUGAUGCUAUUAGUCACAGGAGUAUGUGUUUUAAAAGGAGUGGUAGUUGUAGUAUUAAAUACUAGUACUUGUUGUUAUAGUAGUGUGACCCGGUGAUAUUCUACGCACGAGAGCCAGAAUAAACUGGAGCCAGAGACUACUAUUGUCACGACCGGACAAUGGCCAACUGAAUAUCAUUCUUGGUAUUGGAAAAAGGUCCUAUGCUAAAACCAAGAACAAAAAUAAUCUAGAAAACAAACUACGCUGAAAAACGACGGCGAGCCUGGACACGAUACAAAAACCCCUUGAUAAACUUGACACUGGUACACGCUAGUUCUCUGACAUGGGACAAGAUAAACUGUCACAUGCGCAGACAAUAUAUACAGACACACACAGGGUAAGGGCACAGGUGGAAACAAUCAGGGGCAGGGCGGACAAUCGGACUGGCACACAGGGGAAGGAGCAAGUUGCCUGAAACUAGAGGAAGAUUUU